rnacentral:other from 1 species
AUGCCCCUACUCUGUUGGUGAUCUGCGGAGUAUUGAGCCAACUCUCGUAAAAAGGGCAGUCUUCAGGUUGAUCUAUGGAAAUCUGUUUAGAUUUCCAGCAGUCAACCAAGACCUUGCCCACCUAAUUUAAUUAGGUUUAAUCAUUUCGCAGACACGGCAGCGUGGGGGCUUU